AGCUCCAAUAGCGUAUAUUAAAGUUGUUGCAGUUAAAAAGCUCGUAGUUGAAUUUCUGGCUGGAAGGGAGCGGUCCCGCAUCUUUGCGGGUACUUGCUCGUCUUCUGCCAUCCUUGGGCUUAGUCUCGCUGAUAUUAACUUAUCGGCGUGUACGAUGCCCAUCGUUUACUGUGAGCAAAUUAGAGUGUUCAAAGCAGGCUUAUGCCGUUGAAUAUAUUAGCAUGGAAUAAUAAGAUAGGACCUAGUGACUAUUUUGUUGGUUUGCGUUAUUAGGUAAUGAUUAAGAGGGACAGUUGUGGGUAUUCGUAUUCAGGUGUAAGAGGUGAAAUUCUUAGAUUAUCGGAAGACGAACGACUGCGAAAGCAUUUACCAAGGAUGUUUUCAUCA
rnacentral:rRNA from 1 species